AUUGAACGCUGGCGGCAUGCCUUACACAUGCAAGUCGAACGGCAGCACGGGUGCUUGCACCUGGUGGCGAGUGGCGAACGGGUGAGUAAUACAUCGGAACAUGUCCUGUAGUGGGGGAUAGCCCGCCGAAAGCCGGAUUAAUACCGCAUACGAUCUACGGAUGAAAGCGGGGGACCCUCGCGCCCCGCGCCAUAGGGUCGGCCGAGGGCCGAUUAGCUAGUCGGUGGGGUAAAGGCCUACCAAGGCGACGACCCGGAGCUGGCCUGAGAGGACGACCAGCCACACUGGGACUGAGACACGGCCCAGACUCCUACGGGAGGCAGCAGUGGGGAAUUUUGGACAAUGGGCGAAAGCCUGAUCCAGCAAUGCCGCGUGUGUGAAGAAGGCCUUCGGGUUGUAAAGCACUUUUGUCCGGAAAGAAAUCCUUGGCCCUAAUACGGUCGGGGGAUGACGGUACCGGAAGAAUAAGCACCGGCUAACUACGUG
rnacentral:rRNA from 1 species